GGAUAGUUCUUAUAGCUAAACGCAAUGUCUCUGCUGGUGAUGAGUUAACGUAUGAUUAUUUGUUUGAUCCUGAUGAGCAUGAUGAUGUUAAAGUGCCCUGCCUAUGUGGAGCUCCCAAUUGCCGGAAGUUCAUGAACUAGUGUAGCUGAUGUACAAGAUUUGUCGUACAGCGACAGGCUAACAGUGCAUACAUGAUACAACAAAAUAUAUCUUCUCUUCUUCUUUUGGUUCUGUUUUGUAAUAGCAGUCUUUCACAGCCCAAUUGAAUUUUAAUCUCCAAAUAAUGUUUAUACACCAGCUAUUUAGCUGGCCUUUUACAUCCCCCCUCCAUGUUAUGAGCAUCAACAAAGGUAAAAAGAAAAAAAUGCUGAAUUUUGCAGCGUGUAUUGGAUUUAUUUAGCAAAAGAGGGCUAAAGUCCCGC
rnacentral:misc_RNA from 1 species